rnacentral:rRNA from 1 species
UACGUAGGGUGCAAGCGUUGUCCGGAAUUAUUGGGCGUAAAGAGCUCGUAGGCGGUCUGUCGCGUCGGCUGUGAAAACCCGGAGCUCAACUCCGGGCCUGCAGUCGAUACGGGCAAACUGGAGUGUUGCAGGGGAGACUGGAAUUCCUGGUGUAGCGGUGAAAUGCGUAGAGAUCGGGAGGAACACCCGUGGCGAAGGCGGCCUGCUGGGCCGGACCUGACGCUGAGGCGCGAAGGCGUGGGGAGCGAACGGG